rnacentral:rRNA from 1 species
GUGUCAGCCGCCGCGGUAAUACAGAGGGUGCGAGCGUUAAUCGGAAAAACUGGGCGUAUUGCGUGCGUAGGUGGCCAAAUAAGUCAAAUGUGAAUUCGCUGAGCUUAACUUAGGAAUUGCAUUCGAUACUGGUUGGCUAGAGUAUGGGAGAGGAUGGUAGAAUUCCAGGUGUAGCGGUGAAAUGCGUAGAGAUCUGGAGGAAUACCGAUGGCGAAGGCAGCCAUCUGGCCUAAUACUGACACUGAGGUACGAAAGCAUGGGGAGCAAACAGGAUUAGAAACCCUCGUAGUC